rnacentral:rRNA from 1 species
AGUGAACGCUGGCGGCAGGCCUAACACAUGCAAGUCGAACGGCAGCACGAGAGAGCUUGCCCUCUUGGUGGCGAGUGGCGGACGGGUGAGGAAUGCAUCGGAAUCUGCCCAUUUGUGGGGGAUAACCUCGGGAAACCGGGACUAAUACCGCAUACGACCUUCGGGUGAAAGCAGGGGAUCUUCGGACCUUGCGCAGAUGGACGAGCCGAUGCCGGAUUAGCUAGUUGGCGGGGUAAAGGCCCACCAAGGCGACGAUCCGUAGCUGGUCUGAGAGGAUGAUCAGCCACACUGGGACUGAGACACGGCCCAGACUCCUACGGGAGGCAGCAGUGGGGAAUAUUGGACAAUGGGCGAAAGCCUGAUCCAGCCAUGCCGCGUGGGUGAAGAAGGCCUUCGGGUUGUAAAGCCCUUUUGUUGGGAAAGAAAACUUUCCGGUUAAUACCCGGAGAGAAUGACGGUACCCAAAGAAUAAGCACCGGCUAACUUCGUGCCAGCAGCCGCAGUAA